rnacentral:lncRNA from 1 species
UGAACCCAGAUCACCCUGGGAAAGGGAGCAGGGUGACACAGUGUGAACGAAUAACAGAGCACUUCCUGAGAUGAAAAAGAAGAUGGAAAAGGAGAUGGAGUCUCAAGAGACUUUCAUGGCCAUAAACCCCGACUCCUGAGCUAAGGUUUGAGCCCUUGCCUAUCUCUGUCAGAUUUGGGGACUGUUGAACUUUGUUUUUUCCAUACAUUGUGGAGUACUUUGCAAUUGGAAAAAAGAAUGGGACAAUCUCGAAGUAUUUAUACGGCAAGCUCUCCAAGACCAGGUACAUGAUAAAAGCAAAGUGCAGCACAGUGAAUAGAAAAGUGCUCUUCAAACUCAAAUCCUCCAGCUGAGGACAGAGAGCAUUUGCAAAGCCCACUUCAUUGGCUUUCUCCUAGCUCUCCCUGAAGCUGGGGGUAUGGUGUGUGUGUGUGUGUGUGUGUGUGUGUGUGUGUGUGUGUGUGUGUGUGCGCGCGCGCGCGCUCUUCUUACAGUAAGGGACAAGGACCUGUAGACCUCCUACGGGGACAAGUGCUACCCAGAAGGCAUUUUCCAAAAUCCCAUUAGAAUGGCCUAGGGGAGUCACGUUGCUGUAACUUUGCAGAAAGCCUGUUGCGCUGGAUUCUAAUAUCAAUUCUGUCCUCAGCAGCCCAGAAGACCUUUCUCCUUCCUCCCACCAAAUACAAUUGUAAUUUGUAUGUUCAUUUUUUACAAUGCUUUUUCUGCCACUAGAUUGUGAGCCUUAGGAGACCAUGAUUGAUCUAUUUGCCCACCACUCAAUCUCUAGUACUUGUCAUAGUGCCUGGCAUGUAGUAGGUUCUUAAUAAAUAUCUACUGAAUGAAUGACUAAAUGACUACAUGGGUGAUGGACAUGAAGAACUGAGCAUAGUGCCCAGGCCUGGUGUCAUUUUCAAUUACAGGUGGUAGAAGUUUACUUAAUGUUGGGAUGGGGUGAUUACUAGUUGUAUGACUUUAGGCAGAUUGAUAAAAUUUCCAAGCCUUGGUUUUCUCAUCUGAAUUAUGGAUGCAGUAAUACCUAUUCCCAGGUGUUGUUGUGGGUAAUUUUUUUUUUUUCUUUUUUAUGGUCACACCUGUGGCAUAUGGAAGUUCUUGAGCUAGGGGGUUUGAAUUGGAGCUGCAGUUGAGGCCUACGCCACAGGCACCGCAACACCAGAUCUGAGCUGUAUCUGUAAAUUGUGCCACAGCUUGCAGCACUCUGUAAGCCACUGAGUGAGGCCAAGGAUCGAACCUGCAUCCUUACAGAGACAACAUCAGGUCCUUAACCUGCUGAGCCACAACGGGAACUCCUGGUUGUUGGGUACUGAUGAGAUAACACAGACAAAUCCCUCAGUGUAUGGUUUGGCACAUAAACAGUAAGUAGAGGUUAUUACUAGAGGGAAAUAGCAUAAAAGAAAUAACCCGAAGAAUCAAGUAAAUAAAUCCCUUGAUUGAUGUUGAGGUGCAAAAAUUGCACAAAGAGACUCUCUGCACCUUCUCCUGUCCUCAGAAGUAGGGCAGCCAUCCAUUCUUCAGGAAGUGCUGGUUGAACAGAUACUACAUGCUGGGCACCAUGCCAGCAGCAAAAAAUGAGUAAUUAAUGAGUAUGAAUUUCUUUCUGGGGUGAUGAAAACGUUCUAGAGCUGAUUGUGGUUACACACAGCUCUGUGAAUAUACUAAAAUCCAUUGACUUGGACACUUGAUGUGGGUGAAUGUAUUGAAUGGCGUAUGAAUUAUAUCUCAAUAAAGCUAUUAAAAAAGAAAAGAGAAGUUCCCACCAUGGCUCUGCGGAAACGAAUCUGGCUAGUAUCCAUGAGGACACAGGUUCAAUCCCUGGCCUUGCUCAGUGCCAGGAUCCGCCGUUGCUGUGAGCUGUGGUGUAGGUCGCAGAUGUGGCUUGUAUCCCACAUCGCUGGGGCUGUGUGUAGGCCAGCGGCUACAGCUCCAGUUUGACCCCUAGCCUGGGAACCUGCCGUGGGUGUGGCCCUAAAAAGACCAAAAAAAGAAAGAAAGAGUAGACCUGAGUCUACUCCUUCCUACAUGGGCAAGUCACUGCGCCUCUCUGCUUCAGUAUUCUCCUCUGGAAAAUGGGAAUAAUGAUCAAACCUACCUCAGAGGAUUUUUGGUGAUGAUUAAAAGGAAUAAUGUUUGUAAAGUGUUAACUUAGAGCUUGGUUUGUAACAAAAUCUCCAUUAAAGUUAGCUAACAGCAUCCUGUCAUCUUUAUUCAUAUGUAAAUGCUAAAAUAGAAACUACACAAAUGGGAUGGGCUCUUAGAGCUACUGGCUGGGAGGAGGAAGGAGUCAGGCGGGAGGUGAGGAGGAGGCGAGGACAUCAAGCUGGCUAAGAGUUUAUCCACGCAAAGGGUGUACAGGGCAGCCCUGGAAGAGGGAUCAGCAUGAGCAAGGGCAUGGAGGCCAGAAGCCACAGGAUUAAGGUAAGCAGUUACGAGCAGAUUAGCACAGACUGCAAGGCCAAUCCUUGAACUUUACUGUGAAUACAAUGGGAAGACCACCAGCAGGAAGCAACAUGGCAAGUCUAUGUACCAGAAUAGUCACUGUGGUGGUGGGAAGAUGGAUUCUGAUAGGUUCAGGACUCAAGUGGUAGAGGAGUUAGGAGACUACUGCAACAAUUCAAAUGAGAUGAUAAAGGCUUUAACUUGGACUCUGAAUCUAGAGUAUCAAGGCCAAGGCUCCUUAGAUCAUAAGGGACAGAGACUCACUUAUGACGUCAAGGAAAGGGUAUACAGCGGGAAACCCCAUAGACACCGUAGGGCAGGGAUCUGGAACUAGAAAACCAAGAGUCAAGGCAGUUAUCCUUCAUAAUUGUCUCUCUCAGCAUCUCUGUUCCUUGCACCUCUGGUCCAUUGUGUUUUCAACUAGGGCACUUCUUGUUGUUUGUGAUGGUAUCCCCUUUCCAAUAACUUCUCAUUGUUUGUCCUGAGAAGAAUCUCCACCCUGAUGCUACCUGAACUUCCACUUUUAGGACCCACAGCCAGCUGCCUUCUCCAUUCUCUGCCACUUGAUUCCAAUUUCUGAGACCUAAUCUGAGUGGCUCUGCUCAUCCUUUUGAUCUAGGUCAGGCAAGCAUAGGCCAAGGGUUUGUGGUAGCUGAGGGUGGAGCCAGUCCACAAUGUAAAGAAUUUGGUCAAUUGAGGUAGCAGAGUUCUGAUCAGGGAUUCUUCUUGCCAGCACCUGCAAUACGCUUCAUAUAGUAGGCCUGGGGGGAAGGAAUAGAUUUAAAAUUUAUUAGGCAAUAAAAUUAGCAUUAUUAGAUAAUUGUUUGAAUGUGGGAGGUGAGCUGGAGUGGAGGCCAGGAUGACAUCAGGGGUUGGCUUGGGUAACUAGGAGAUUUUUCAGCUCCUUUCCUCUGUGUGGGUGCCGUUCUCAGGUUCUCGGGAAGCUUCUCCCCUUGAUUCAGGUAGGGUCCCAGCAGAAAAUGCAUGGUUUUCCUACUCUGGGAAAUGUGAGACACAUUUACUAAGAGGCCCAUGGGACAGGGUAUAGGGUAACAGCCAAGGACCGUGUAGUACCCUGGGGCUAGAAACAGUGGUGUGCUGUCCUGAAGGGUAGGGGAAGGCACUUCUCAGAAUCCUGAGAGGGAUUCUCAGAAUCAAGAGAGCCUGACAGGAGCUGUGGCCUUUAGUAGUGGCUACAGCCAGCCUGUGGCAUCAGCCCAGUAAGGAAGCUGGGAGAGGAAACAUCCUGACCUGGCUCUUCUGCCUCCCUUCGGUAUCCUGCCCUGGCUCCCCAAGGGCUAACUCCAACAGGAAGACAGAGCAAGGAAGCCCACUGAUGCAUCCUAUAGCACCUCUCUGGGGCCAGGAGGGACAAAGAUAAGAUGUCCAAUCCACUCCUCAUGGUGGAUCUGGAAGGGACCACUGCUUCCUAAACCAACCCAAACCCAAAAACCUCCGCAAAAUUCAUAGCGAUUGUUCUACUUUGCCUUGGGUAGGUCAGGUGUCCAUGCCUGGACCAAUCACGUAGGGGGAGUAAAUAGCAUCACUUUCUGAUUGGCUAAGCCAGAAGCUGAGGGUGGAGUCAGCUCUGAUCCAGCCUCCCAGCUGAGGUGCAGGAAGGUAAACCCUCAAAGGAUACCAGAGUGUUGUCAACUGACCGGAUGAAAAGGACGGAUGAUCACCGAUGCCCAUGGCAGGACUCAUGGAGGACUUUUGAGCAGGGGUGGGAGGUAGGGGUUGCGGGUACGGAGUGUUGUUGUUCCUGUUGGACCUAUACGGGAAGAGAUUGUGAGCCCAGCAGUCAGAGCUGGAGCUGCGCCCCCUCCAGGCCUCAGUUUCCUAGCAAGGAGGAAUCUUUUAAUAUUCUGUGGCUCUAGCGCUUACCGGCCAGUCGUUAACCAACAAGUUUAGCCUCUCAUCAAGAGUGCAGACCCUUUGUCUCCAGUAAGGACCACCAAGCCUUGCUUUCUGAAAUCAUUCCUUUCAGGUAGACCUAGAAGAGACCUCUUCGGACCCACUUAAGUUUGCUGGAAGGUGCCACCUAGUGGAACAUCCGAUGACAUGCCGCUUAGGCCAAAGGAAACCUAGAAGGGUUUUAGAGCUUGAAAGUUAUGGAGGAGUAGUUUGCUUACACUUGGCUGCACCUAGGAAUGGCUGAGUCCUACCCCUAGAGGUUCUGACUUAAUUGGUCUAGGGUGCAGGGUGGGCCUCUAGAGUUUUAAAAGGUCCCAGGUGAUUCCAAAGUUAAGAGCAGCCGAAGUGAAGACCACUGGGUUAUAGUGUAUCCAAGUUUAUUUCACAGAAGUGCCCACAGAUGAUGUCAUUUCUCCAAGAGCCUUAAACUUCUAGGAAGCCCCUUGCCCCUGCACCCCACCACCUCUUUAUUUGUACUUUGUACAAUGUUCUUCCUUUAUGGAAAAUGAAAAGUAAUUGAACAGGAAUCACUCAUUUCCCAAACCCUGAUACACACACACACACACACACAAGCAUUUUAAUGGUAGAAACAGAAGGAGGAUGGCUUCCUCUACAUUUGACAUUUGAAUCUGACCCUUCUGACUAAUAGUCUGAAUUAUACCCACCCUGUGAUGUAGUAUAUUUGCUCUUUGAAAUGUACGACCUUCUCUGUUUGCUCUUUCAAAAUGUAUCCUACUUGAGGCACCUUCCACAGUCACUGUCUUGAUUCAAUAACAUUCCUUUAUGGUUGGCAGGAUUGGUUUAAUUGGCAUCUCAGUGUGGAAAUGACAAAGUAGACUCCAAGAGAGAAGCAAUUUUCUGUCUAGAGGUCAUUUUGAAUAGGCAUCCUGCAAACCCUUUCUUUUUAUUCAGACUCGGAGCUGAAAUGCCGCUACGUACACACACCGGACUGAACCACCAGAAUAGUGUUCCAUGUCUGACUGCCCUCCUCCCAUCCUACCUUGCAAGACUGAGUCCCAGAAUUUUAGAACUAAAAAAGACCUCAACAAGCAUCUGGUUUAACUACUUUAAUACGACCAUAUUCUUUUUUUAUCUAGACAUCUUUAAUUCUUGCUAAUGCAUACACUCUUGGAUCCAUUCAUGAUAAAUAUGAUGCUCAGAGAAUUUGAGUGGCCAGUCUGAAGCUGCACAGGAAGGUGGGAGCAAAGUCUGGACUGAUGCGGGCUCAUCAGAGCCAUGCAGGGAAAUUUCAGCUCCAGAACUUGUGUCCUUUUGCUUUAUAUUUAGAAUUGUGACCCUUGUUAAAUGACCAGCCUGGUAGACCCAGCAGUUUGGGUCAAAGACUCGAGUGUUAAUGAGUUUCUUGAGUGCAGAUUUUAAGGAGGUUGAUUAAUUAAUCGAUUCAUUCAUUCACUUCCCAAGUGUUUGUUGAGAACUUGUUGGGGGCCAGGUACUAUUCUAGGCAUUGAGGAUAUGCUGUACUAGGCAUUGAGCAAAACAAACAGAAACAACAUGAUCUCUGUCCUCAUGGGGCUAAUAGUCCAGUGGUGGAGACAUAGCAAACAAUCACCCUGUAAGCAGAAACACUCUGACUUAAGGAAAGCCAUUGCCAAGAGGUCGCAUAAUUACGGAGCUUAGUUUUUCUGAGAGUGUUUGACGAGCUCCAAGGAGAGGAGGAGCAAGAAGUCUUUAGGUUUGCCGCAUGCACAGACGUCCAACACCCAUAGCCUCUUGGAUUUUGCUUAGAGUCAAGCAGAGCUCUCUCUCUCACCAGCUUGGGAAUUAUGUCAUUACAGAGUCAUUAUUAUCUGCAUUUAGCUUAUGAGGAAAUUGAGGCUCAGAAUAGCUAAGGGGCUUGGCCAAGGUUAACGAUGUUAGAGGUUGACUGAUUAUCAGACCAACACCUCCUGACUUGCUGAUCUGUUCCACUUUCACACCCCUCAGUGCAGGCCUAGGCCAUACCAGCCUGAGGGUACAGACCUUGGCAAAUGGGAUCAGCCUUACUGUGAAAGCCAAGGUAAGGCCAUCUAGUAGGAAGGGCUCUCAUAUCCUCAUCAGGAAGUCUGAUGGCUUUCCUGUCCUGUUGCCUCUCUUCUAGCUGAGCCUUCUUGCGGAAGGCUGUCCUGGCGGGAUCCUGAAAGAUCUGCAGGUAACUGAUGACAAAAGGGACAACUGAAGAGUGAGUGAGAAAAUAAGCAGAUCAUUUAAAAAAGGAAAAGAGGAGGUCCCUUGUUGUGGCUCACUGGUUAACGAACCUGACUAGGAUCCAUGAGGAUGCAUGAGGGUUUGAUCCCUCACCUUGCUCAGUGAGUUAAGGAUCCGGCGUUGCUGUGAGCUGUGGUAUAGGUCGCCGAUGUGGCUCCGAUUCUGCAUGGCUGUGGCUGUGGUGUAUGCCAGCAGGUACAGCUCCAAUUUGACCCUUAACCUGGGAACUUCCNAAAAAAAAAAAAAAAAAAAAAAAAAAA